rnacentral:SRP_RNA from 1 species
GCCAGGCGUGGUGGCGCGCGCCUGUAAUCUCAGCUACUCAGGGGCUGAGGCAGAAGAAUCGCUUGAACCCGGAGGGCAGAGGUUGCAGUGAGCUGAGAUGGUGCCACUGCACUCCAGCCUGGGUGACAGAGUGAGACUCUGUCUCAA